rnacentral:misc_RNA from 1 species
GAUGAAGAACGUAGCGAAAUGCGAUAAGUAAUGUGAAUUGCAGAAUUCAGUGAAUCAUCGAAUCUUUGAACGCACAUUGCGCCCGCCAGUAUUCUGGCGGGCAUGCCUGUUCGAGCGUCAUUUCAACCAUCAAGCCCCAGGCUUGUGUUGGGGACCUGCGGCUGCCGCAGGCCCUGAAAACCAGUGGCGGGCUCGCUGUCACACCGGGCGUAGUAGAUUUUAUCUCGCUCAGGGCGUGCUGCGGGUUCCGGCCGUUAAAAAGCCUUUUUUACCCAAGGUUGACCUCGGAUCAGGUAGGAAGACCCGCUGAACUUAAGCAUAUCAAUAAGCGGAGGAU